AGCGAACGCUGGCGGCAGGCCUAACACAUGCAAGUCGAACGAACUCUUCGGAGUUAGUGGCGGACGGGUGAGUAACACGUGGGAACGUGCCCUUUGGUACGGAAUAACUCAGGGAAACUUGAGCUAAUACCGUAUGUGCCCUUCGGGGGAAAGAUUUAUCGCCAUUGGAGCGGCCCGCGUCUGAUUAGCUAGUUGGUGAGGUAAAGGCUCACCAAGGCUACGAUCAGUAGCUGGUCUGAGAGGAUGAUCAGCCACAUUGGGACUGAGACACGGCCCAAACUCCUAUGGGAGGCAGCUGUGGGGAAUCUUGCGCAAUGGGCGAAAGCCUGACGCAGCCAUGCCGCGUGAAUGAUGAAGGUCUUAGGAUUGUAAAAUUCUUUCACCGGGGACGAUAAUGACGGUACCCGGAGAAGAAGCCCCGGCUAACUUCGUG
rnacentral:rRNA from 1 species